rnacentral:lncRNA from 1 species
GAUUGGGGGGCAUGGGUAUGGGGAACUUUUGGGAUAGCAUUGGAAAUGUAAACGAGGAAAAUACCUAAUAAAAAAAGAGGAAAAAAAAAGAAUUUAGAUUGCAAACUAUUAAAGAAUAGAUCAAAGAAAAUUAUAGGUUGUCUGUCUUUAACCAAAGGGAACACAAUACAAUAAAGCCUCUCCUAGAGUCUUCUGGUACCCAAGGGCCUAUAAAAUAGCCAGCUUUUCAAAAUGGUUGUUAAGAUCCUGUUGCUAAAGGCAAUGCUUACUCUUUCAUUGAACACAGAGAAGUCCAGGUGGUGCCUAACUAAAAAUUUCAUCCAUACUCGUAUUCAUGAAAGAUACCAUUGGAAGACAGCUUGCUGAAUGAUGCUCUGCAGGCUAUGGAGGAGAAAGGUAAUCAUUGCUCAGGUACAAACCCUGUAGUCUACAACAGUGACCGGCCUAUAAGGUCACUGGUGCAGCUGUGGCACAACUGGUAUGGGAGUAGCCAGUCACUUUUUUGUUGGAUUUAAGGCCCAUUUUAUGAGAUGGAACUCAUAACUGACCGCUAAAGUGGCCAACAGCCUGAGACCAAUAGGUCUUUGGCCUAGGGGAAAACUUGACUCCUUUUGAUAUACUUUUAUACCAAUAGAUCAGUGCUUUGCUUAGCUCACAUCAGAGAUGGAAAAUAAUUUAGAGACCUGCAAAUGGACAAUAUGCAGAAAGUCAGAGUCUGGAUUUCUAAAUGGGAUGUCUUUAUAAAACCUUGCCGUCACUGCUCAGGGAACUAUACAGGCAGAAGAAGAGGCAGAAAAUUUUAAUAGCCAGAGUGAUGAAUGACUCCAAGGAAACUGUUUUCACGCAUAACAGGUAAUGCAAAUAUGAACUCAUAGGGACUCAGGUUCAAGUCACAUGAAGUCCUUGCACUUUGAAGGGGAAGUAGACCUAGGGUCCCACCUCUAACCAAAAAGUCAUUUGCAAUUGAUACCCACUUGCAAAGGAAAUUCAUUUUUCUCCAGUGGAGUGCUUUCAAAUGUUAGUGUGGUUGUAAAUGAGGACUUUUACCAGUUUAAUUAUUAUAAAACACUAUUUCUUGGUAUAUUCUUAAUAUAUGUCUAGCUUAUUUCUGUGUUGAGCAUGUAAUCCAUAAAAUGCAAAAGAUAAAAAAUAAGUGUGUGUGUCAGAUUUUUAUUUAUUUAGAAAAGGAUUAUGAUUAUCACAAGAAGGGGAUAUAUAAUAUACCAACCAUCAUAUCCAUUCAAAAAAUGCAGUUUUUCAUAAUGAAAUUUAUUUGGUUAAUUUUAUUGUUAAUAGAUUGUCCAUUUAUUUUGUGUUGUUAUUCUAUGGCUAAGAGUUGUAUACUUCUUUGAAUUUUCCAUUCAUAUUAGAAUACAUAACUAAUUAUGAUACAUGGCACAGUAGUGGGCUGAGAAUCCUUCUUUGAUAAGAUAUUACUAUGUAGCCCAGGCUGGUCUAUUUGUGAUCUUUCUGUCUUAGCAUUCUGAAUGUCUGGAUGACAGGUGUGUAACAUCAUCCCUGGACUCAGUGGGUCAGUAAAUGUGAUAUCUUAGCAAAAUAAGUCUGCUAAACUGAUGGAAUAUGCAUAUUUUGGUCCCAUCAUUUCUUAUUGUGUUGCUUAAUUUAGGUGUCCUAUUCAUAUUAAAGAUAGUGUUUAGCAGAAAGUAACUAAUGAGAUUUGAUGCUGUGUUUGUCCUUGGGAAAUUAAAUAACUUUAGUUAUUUGUUCUACAUGGUAAUCAGAUAUUCUUGAAUGAGUAUAUUACUUGGACCCACUGGGAUAAUUCUGUAAAACAGUUAAUUCUAUAUUAUUUGUGAGACAUUAUAAAUCCAAACCACAGCAGAUAGUAUGUGUGAAUGUAUAUUUAUGUGAGUAUGUUUAUGUUUACAUAUGUGAAUAUACUUUCCUACUAUCAAUUUUGACUGCAUCGUUUGCAUGGUAUGAUUUUCUAAGUUGACAGUUGCUUGUGGCCCUUUUCUGAUGUGCUUUGUAUGUGAAUAGACAUGUUUGUUAAGCUUAUGAAAUAUGUCUUUUACUUUUUAAACUUUUAAAAACUGUUUAAAAACUGCUUUCGUUUUGUGAAAAUAGUUGGUGUUUGUAUUCAGAUGAUUGUGAUUGUGGUGAAAUGACUACUAGAACAUGCUCCUUAAAGAGUGUAUGAUGUUCAAAGUUGCCAAGGAAUUACUGCUGUUAGGGUAUGGGAAUCUAAUGUGAAUUUAUUAUUGUCUGAGAAGGCCUUUGAGCAUUAAUUUUGUCGUUGUGGAAAGAUCUAAGUUGAAAGGACAAAGAUAGUAUUAACUUAAUGUUGGAAAAUAAAACUUAGUUCUUGUUUUGUUUUUGCCUCUAAACUUUAAAAAAAUUAACAUGCUCAUAAAUUUGAUUAUUGUAUAUUUUAAUUGAAAAUGUGGGUUUCAACCCCAAUUCUCCCAUUACUUAACUGUAUUACCUUGGGAAAAUUCCUACUGACUUUAAUUUCUUCACAUUAUAAGUAGCAGAAUCGAAUUUCUAGUUUGUCAGUGAAACUCUAUUCACUUUUAAAACUCAGUGACAAGCAUUUUAUGAUCCUUUGUUUUUCUUCCUUUAGCUUAAGGUUAUUAUUUAAUUUACCCUUUCUGCAUAGCCAUACAUCAUUUAAUGGCAGAGAUACAUUCUAAGAGCAUACUAUACAAACUUAGAUUGUAUAGCCAACCACUGAUAUGCAUUUUUGAUGCUUCACAAGAAGAGGUAAAUAUGAGAAAUAUGAGGCUGUUCCUGGUGUAACAUGCAAACAGUAAGAAACUGUUUUAUUGUAAACUUAAAAAUAUAGCUAGAAAGAAUAUGUGCUAAAAUUAAAAAGUAUAGUAAAAGAUAUAUAUGAGUCGAUAAAGUCUUUUGAAAUCAAGUAUGAUGAUACUAAAUAUAAUUGUAUAUAAGAUACUUUUACAUGAUUGGCAGUAUCAGAAGCUUAUUCAAAUCAUUAUCACAAAUUACUACAUUGGUAAUUUGUUGUGCCAUUUUGAGAGUACAACAGCUAUGAUAGCAGUAGGCAAUAGGAAGGAUUUUGGCUCCAUUGUAAUAUUAUAGGAUCACUAUUAUAUAUGUGGUCCAUAACAAGAUCAGACAUCAUUAUGUAGAAUUUGACUACAUAAAAAUUUACUUUUUAUAUAGUUUAAAAUAAAUGGAAUCUUGUUGACUAUACUGCAUCAUAAAAAUCAGUGAACUACGUUAUUCUAGCCUAGUGUAGAGUAGACAUAGUAAAAUAUGUACUUUUAUGUUUUGGGGUAGUGUGUUAGCUUUCUGUUACAUUGGUGACAUACUAAAUUAGUCUAGAAGGGGAAAGUUUUAUUUUGGAUCAAGAUUUCAGAGAUUCAUGUUCACUAGAUGGGUAUGAAAAGAUUGAAUCAUAUAGUUUUAAUGGAACUAUACCAAUACCCUUAUACAUGAUUUGUAAGUAAGACUUAUGUUUGAUAAAGGGAGAAAGAGUAGAUGGUCCUAGUUAGCUGUUCAGUUCUGGUUUCUGUUCUUCUCUUUUAGUUAACAAUGAAAAAUUCACUGAAAUUCCCCCUAUAUUCAUUGUAUUCCUAGUAGGGUUCCAGAAAAAAGAAGGUAAAAAUAUACAACUUCCUGUGUGUGCAGCUUCUAAAAUUUCACACUCUUUAAUAGCCUUUAGCACUAUGUUAAAAAUUACUAAUUUAUUUUUAUUUUUGGUAGUUUUUAUAGAGUUCAGAUGCAUCUGUCCCUAGGUUUGGAAAGGCUCUAUUUUUUUUUUUUUUUUUUAAGUAUAGGUGCUUGCUAUUCUAUAUGUUUCAUGUUUUGUUGCUUGACUUAAAUUCUCUAUUUGGCUCAGAAAAAGUAAUUAAUUAAAAUUUUACAAUGUUCUUGUCAUAAUGGUGGGAGUAAGGCUCUUUCCAACUCUUUAUGUAUUCAGCCUUAAAAAAGAAAGUCAUUUACCUUAAAAAUGCUUUCAUUUUAAAGAUAAUUAUAUAUAUUCUGUAUUUGAUUUUGUUUUGUUUUGUUUCUAUUAGUUAUAUUUCCCUCUUUAAAACUAUAGUAAUCUUGUGGUAAUUAUCAUGCAAACAUAAGGACCAGAGUUUGAUCUCUAGCUCCCACUUAAAAAUAAAACAAAACCAAAAUCAAACAAAAAAACCCAAACCAAUCCCACAAACUAGUAUGUGCUUUUAAUCUCAGUGCUGGGGAGGUAGAGAAAAGAGGAUCCCUGAGGUGCAGUGGCCAGUCUUUGUAGCUGAAUUGGUGAACUUCAGGUUUAGUAAGCGACCCACUCUCAAGAGAAAGAUGGAAGAGUUGGGUAUGUGGCUUAGCAGUUAAAGUGUUUUCUAUGCAAACAUAAGGAAUUAGGCUCACCUACAUAAAAGCUGGUGGAGGCCAAUCCAUGAUGAUAGCUCACAGGAGGCAGAAACAAAGAAUUCCUGGAGCAAGUUGGCUAGACAGUCUAGCUAAAUAUGGUGAACUCCAGAUUCAGAAGACACCUUGCUUCAAUAUAUAAGGUAGAACUAGAUCAAGGGCCACAGUAUCUAAACAGUAUCAUCAGGUGCAUGUGCACCUAUCUAUGUGUACUUAACACACAUGUGAAUCCCCACCCCUACCCCCCAGGACAAAAGUAGAGAGCAGGUGAAGAACACAUUUGACCAACUGGAACUUUACAGGUGCAGCUUUUCAAGAACCUCAGUUUAAUAUAAUUUUCAGUAUUCGCUCCUGCUCUGGUUGGUUAGGACUUCUAUGUCAUGUAACAGUUUAUAAUUUAUGAAAUAUCGAUUUAAAGGCAUGCUGAUCUUAAAAAUUAUAACUUGUAUAUGUGCAGCUUAGAAUUCACCAAAACCUUAUGUCCCUUUGCAGGUUCUAAAGUGCUUUCCUUUCCUAAAGGACUACCUUCCUUUUGGUGAUCUGUUCUGUAAAUUCCAUUGUUUCCACUUUCCUAAGUUCUGUCCUCAUCUAUACUUCCUUGAGCCUGCUAUGUUAUGUUUGGACUCUUUCUCCCUGUGAAGUAGUAUGGAAUAUGCCUCCAGGUAGGAAGACAUAGGCAAGCAUAUGGUGUUUCUUUUCCUAUUGGCUUGUAGCCCCAGGCUGUCUUCUGGUCACUAUAAGG